rnacentral:rRNA from 1 species
AUUGAACGCUGGCGGCAGGCCUAACACAUGCAAGUCGAGCGGAUGAAGGGAGCUUGCUCCUGGAUUCAGCGGCGGACGGGUGAGUAAUGCCUAGGAAUCUGCCUGGUAGUGGGGGAUAACGUCCGGAAACGGGCGCUAAUACCGCAUACGUCCUGAGGGAGAAAGUGGGGGAUCUUCGGACCUCACGCUAUCAGAUGAGCCUAGGUCGGAUUAGCUAGUUGGUGGGGUAAAGGCCUACCAAGGCGACGAUCCGUAACUGGUCUGAGAGGAUGAUCAGUCACACUGGAACUGAGACACGGUCCAGACUCCUACGGGAGGCAGCAGUGGGGAAUAUUGGACAAUGGGCGAAAGCCUGAUCCAGCCAUGCCGCGUGUGUGAAGAAGGUCUUCGGAUUGUAAAGCACUUUAAGUUGGGAGGAAGGGCAGUAAGUUAAUACCUUGCUGUUUGGACGUGACCAACAGAAUAAACACCGGCUAACUUCGU